GCGGGAAUAGCUCAGUUGGUAGAGCAUAACCUUGCCAAGGUUGGGGUCGCGAGUUCGAGUCUCGUUUCCCGC
rnacentral:tRNA from 1 species